GGGUCCUUUGUAUGACCGUUUCUUGGGUCCUGAUCAAAAUGAUUGACACAAAAGUUACCAUUAAUUAAAAUACUCAAAAAAUUAAUUAAACAACUACUUCUUCAAAUUUAGAAUGAUCAUGUUCAUAAUCUCCGAGAUAAGGUGUUGGAAAACUACAGUAAUAUGUGCAAGAACAACAGCCUGAAUGGUCUCGAGCGGGGUCUUACCUUCAAAUGUUGUGCAAUAUGUUUGUCUAAAAUCAGUUUAUUGGGGCUAAGAAUUGAGUAUGCUUCAUGGAUUCAUACAUGUUGAAACUUACAAAAUACUUACAUGACAAAGCAAUAGGAUUCUACAUAGAAUUUGAAGUAUGAUAUGAAAAAGACGUAUUUUAUUUCUACUCAAAAUUACUAUAUUUUUUUCUGUAUAAAAAUGUCUCAUUAUAUUUUGUAUAUAUAUAUAAUUUACAUUUGUUCCUAAUAAUUUAUUGAAUCCAUUCGUAAUAUUUAAUGUUAAUAACUUCAAUUUGUAUCAUUUGUCAUUAGUAAUUUGUUUCACUUUCUGUGUAUAACUACUAUUAAAAUUUCUAA
rnacentral:lncRNA from 1 species